rnacentral:rRNA from 1 species
UACGUAGGGUGCGAGCGUUGUCCGGAAUUAUUGGGCGUAAAGGGCUCGUAGGCGGUUUGUCGCGUCGGGAGUGAAAACCAGGUGCUUAACACCUGGCUUGCUUUCGAUACGGGCAGACUAGAGGUAUGCAGGGGAGAACGGAAUUCCUGGUGUAGCGGUGAAAUGCGCAGAUAUCAGGAGGAACACCGAUGGCGAAGGCAGGUCUCUGGGCCACUACUGACGCUGAGAAGCGAAAAGCAUGGGGGAGCGAACAGG